rnacentral:rRNA from 1 species
CCUACGGGAGACAGCAGUGAGGAAUAUUGGUCAAUGGGCGCGAGCCUGAACCAGCCAAGUAGCGUGAGGGAAGAAGGCCCUACGGGUCGUAAACCUCUUUUGCCGGGGGGCAAAAGACUCCACGCGUGGCGUUCUGCGAGUACCCGUCGAAACAGCACCGGCUAACUCCGUGCCAGCAGCCGCGGUAAUACGGAGGAUGCGAGCGUUAUCCGGAUUCAUUGGGUUUAAAGGGUGCGCAGGCGGACGUUCAAGUCAGCGGUAAAAUUGAGAGGCUCAACCUCUCCGAGCCGUUGAAACUGGUGGUCUUGAGUGAACGAGAGGCAUGCGGAAUGCGUGGUGUAGCGGUGAAAUGCAUAGAUAUCACGCAGAACCCCGAUUGCGAAGGCAGCAUGCCGGCGCGCAACUGACGCUCAUGCACGAAGGUGUGGGUAUCGAACAGGAUUAGAUACCCUGGUAGUC